rnacentral:rRNA from 1 species
AGCACGUCAUGGUGGGCACUCUAAGGAGACUGCCGGUGACAAACCGGAGGAAGGUGGGGAUGACGUCAAGUCAUCAUGGCCCUUACGGCCUGGGCUACACACGUGCUACAAUGGUCGGUACAAAGGGUUGCCAAGCCGCGAGGUGGAGCUAAUCCCAUAAAACCGAUCGUAGUCCGGAUCGCAGUCUGCAACUCGACUGCGUGAAGUCGGAAUCGCUAGUAAUCGUGAAUCAGAAUGUCACGGUGAAUACGUUCCCGGGCCUU